ensembl:lncRNA
AGAGCCAAGAGAUUUGCAUUUGGAAGCGCCCCGUCCUCUUGCGCGUCUGGCGAGAAAGGAGAGCCUGGUGACCGACCGAGCUGCAUUUCUGGAGCAGUUGCUGGGUUUUUGCCUCGCUGAAGCAUGAGUAGCACCAGGGAAGUGGAGGCGAGGGAAAGGGAAUCCUGUCACCGAGCGGACACCUGCUCCUGCGCCCCCCCGCCCACGCCCGGGCCGCAGGCGCUGGCUCGCCCUCUCCAUCUGCCCUGCCGGCGGCGUUGCCCGCCCCGUCCGCCCCGCCCAUCCUUCCUCCAGGGCUGUGGAGAGAAUGGUGUGGGGACUGCAGGAAGCCCCGAAAACUAGACCAGUGCGGGUGCUGGGGAGCCAUAGGCCAGAGUUUUUUUUAAUCUUUCUCUGGAACCGACUCUCAGUUGCAGAACCGAGUUUUGAGCUCGGUGUAAAGUUUAAAUUGCAGUCUACAAGCUGUUUCAAAGGAAGUCAUGAAACCCCGUGCUCUCGG